UACGUAGGCAGCAAGCGUUGUUCGGAAUUACUGGGCGUAAAGAGUGUGUAGGCGGUGCUCCAAGUCUGGUGUGAAAUCUCUCGGCUUAACUGGGAGGGUGCAUUAGAAACUGGAAUGCUAGAGGAUGGGAGAGGUAAGCGGAAUUCCUGGUGUAGCGGUGAAAUGCGUAGAUAUCAGGAGGAACACCUGUGGUGUAGACAGCUUACUGGACCAUUUCUGACGCUGAGACACGAAAGCGUGGGUAGCAAACAGG
rnacentral:rRNA from 1 species